AUCGUUCGACAUCAUCAAAAUUGUAACGACUCUCGGCAACGGAUAUCUCGGCUCUCGCAUCGAUGAAGAACGUAGCGAAAUGCGAUACUUGGUGUGAAUUGCAGAAUCCCGUGAACCAUCGAGUCUUUGAACGCAAGUUGCGCCCGAAGCCGUCAGGUUGA
rnacentral:rRNA from 1 species